AUGUUUAUCCUGAUAUUUCAUUGCAUUUUGUUCCAUCCAAUCAUCAAUAUCGGCGGUUACCAAAACAGUCAAUCUCUCACCAUUUCAAAAUCGUCUCUCACAUCUGCCUCUCUUAUUCUCUCAUCUCAUCGCCCUCUUUCUCUUCUUCCUCAUUCAAGCAGUUACCAAAGACAGUUCCUAAGAACCUUUGUAUUUCAGUUUCUGCAAUUGUUUCGCCCUCCAUUAUCCCUCUUAUUGGUUGGGUGA